rnacentral:rRNA from 1 species
CACGUAGGGCGCAAGCGUUGUCCGGAAUUAUUGGGCGUAAAGAGCUCGUAGGCGGUCUGUUGCGUCCGCUGUGAAAACUCGGGGCUUAACCCCGAGCCUGCAGUGGAUACGGGCAGACUAGAGGUAGGUAGGGGAGAAUGGAAUUCCCGGUGUAGCGGUGAAAUGCGCAGAUAUCGGGAGGAACACCGGUGGCGAAGGCGGUUCUCUGG